rnacentral:rRNA from 1 species
AUUGAACGCUGGCGGAAUGCUUUACACAUGCAAGUCGAACGGUAGAGGGGGCAACCCCUUGAGAGUGGCGAACGGGUGAGUAAUAUAUCGGAACGUGCCCAGUCGUGGGGAUAACGUAGCGAAAGUUACGCUAAUACCGCAUACGAUCUAAGGAUGAAAGCGGGGGACUCGCAAGAGCCUCGCGCGAUUGGAGCGGCCGAUAUCAGAUUAGGUAGUUGGUGGGGUAAAGGCUCACCAAGCCAACGAUCUGUAGCUGGUCUGAGAGGACGACCAGCCACACUGGAACUGAGACACGGUCCAGACUCCUACGGGAGGCAGCAGUGGGGAAUUUUGGACAAUGGACGCAAGUCUGAUCCAGCCAUUCCGCGUGCAGGAUGAAGGCCCUCGGGUUGUAAACUGCUUUUGUACGGAACGAAAAGGUUUCUAUUAAUACUAGGAGCUCAUGACGGUACCGUAAGAAUAAGCACCGGCUAACUACGUGCCAGCAGCCGCGGU